UACAGAGGGUGCAAGCGUUAAUCGGAAUUACUGGGCGUAAAGCGUGCGUAGACGGUUAUGUAAGUUAGGUGUGAAAGCCCCGGGCUCAACCUGGGAAUUGCAUUUAAGACUGCAUAGCUAGGGUGCGGAAGAGGGAAGCGGAAUUUCCGGUGUAGCGGUGAAAUGCGUAGAUAUCGGAAGGAACAUCAGUGGCGAAAGCGGCUUCCUGGACCAGCACCGACGUUCAGGCACGAAAGCGUGGGGAGCAAACAGG
rnacentral:rRNA from 1 species